GAUGAAGAACGCAGCGAAAUGCGAUAACUAAUGUGAAUUGCAGAAUUCCGUGAAUCAUCGAGUCUUUGAACGCACAUUGCGCCCCCUGGUAUUCCGGGGGGCAUGCCUGUCCGAGCGUCAUUGCUGCCCAUCAAGCACGGCUUGUGUGUUGGGUCCUCGUCCCCCCCGGGGGACGUGCCCGAAAGGCAGCGGCGGCACCGCGUCCGGUCCUCGAGCGUAUGGGGCUUUGUCACCCGCUCUGCAGGCCCGGCCGGCGCUGGCCGACGCGAAAGCAACCAUUUUUUCUCCAGGUUGACCUCGGAUCAGGUAGGGAUACCCGCUGACCUUAAGCAUAUCAAUAAGCGGAGGA
rnacentral:misc_RNA from 1 species